UACGUAGGUGGCAAGCGUUGUCCGGAUUUACUGGGCGUAAAGAGCGCGCAGGCGGCUGGUCAAGUCCGAUGUGAAAUCUCCCGGCUUAACUGGGAAACUGCAUCGGAAACUGAUCGGCUUGAAGGUGGGAGAGGGUAGUGGAAUUCCCGGUGUAGUGGUGAAAUGCGUAGAUAUCGGGAGGAACACCAGUGGCGAAGGCGACGUCCUGGCUCGCAUCUGACGCUCAGACACGACAGCAUGGGGAGCGAACGGG
rnacentral:rRNA from 1 species